rnacentral:rRNA from 1 species
CCUACGGGAGGCAGCAGUGGGGAAUAUUGCACAAUGGGGGGAACCCUGAUGCAGCGACGCCGCGUGAGUGAAGAAGUAUUUCGGUAUGUAAAGCUCUAUCAGCAGGAACGAGACAAGACGGUACCUGACUAAGAAGCCCCGGCUAACUACGUGCCAGCAGCCGCGGUAAUACGUAGGGGGCAAGCGUUAUCCGGAAUCACUGGGUGUAAAGGGAGCGUAGACGGCGGAGCAAGCCUGAAGUAAAAGGCGGGGGCCCAACCCCCGGACUGCUUUGGGAACUGUACGGCUGGAGGGCAGGAGAGGUAAGUGGAAUUCCUAGUGUAGCGGUGAAAUGCGUAGAUAUUAGGAGGAACACCAGUGGCGAAGGCGGCUUACUGGACUGUAACUGACGUUGAGGCUCGAAAGCGUGGGGAGCAAACAGGAUUAGAUACCCCUGUAGUC